rfam:Gossypium arboreum cultivar AKA8401 contig_1292_3, whole genome shotgun sequence.
UGUUAAAAAUUCAUCCAUUAAUGUUAUUAAAAACUAACGUGGUUGACAGAAUAACCAGAGAGUGACACGUGGCGUGCUAUGUGUACCUGAUGUUAAUGUAUAAGGACUAGUUUUUAACUGUAAAAAUGGAUGAAAUUUUUAACA